GCCCCCGUAGCUCAGUGGUAGAGCACUGGUCUCGUAAACCAGGGGUCCUGAGUUCAAUCCUCAG
rnacentral:tRNA from 1 species